UGGAAGCUACGGGGCGAGCAGUGGGGAAUAUUGCACAAUGGGGGGAACCCUGAUGCAGCGAGAACGCGUGCGCGAUGGAGUAUUUCGGUAUGUAAAGCCCUAUCGGCAGGGAAGAAAAUGACAGUACCUGACUAAGAAGCCCCGGCUAACUACGUGCCAGCAGCCGCGGUAAUACGUAGGGGGCAAGCGUUAUCCGGAUUCACUGGGCGUAAAGGGAGCGCAGGCGGCACGGGAAGCCUGGUGUGAAAACCCGGGGCCCAACCCCGGG
rnacentral:rRNA from 1 species